AAUGAGUUUGAUUCUUCUUUUUAUGAUGAAGAAGAAAUAAUAGACCCAGAACCAGAAAUACUAAGGGUAGAAAGAGAAGAUAACGUAAUACUAGGUGAUAAGUUAAUAACAACAGAAGAUACACCAGUUAUUACCCCUAACAAUGAGGAUAGUAACUGAGGAUAAUAUCCCUAGUACCUCAUCAACGACACAAGCUGAUGUAGUGACCCAUGAUUAUAAUCUUAGAUCACGAGUACGAUUCUAUCCGAAAAUGGUCGUACACAAGCCUAAAAAUAACGUAAAUACAGUUAACACUGUAUCUUACGAAGCCAGUGUUAUUAAUGCUUUUAAUAACAUGAUAGAUUACUUGCGAAGUUGUAAAUAAGAUAUAUAUACUUUUGGUUAUUAUAUUUGUUAUAUGUUUAAAUGUUAGAUAUUUUAUAGGUAACUAAUAGUAUUAUUUGGUGGAUAUAUCUUUAGGAUUCUUAUACUGUUGCUGACGAAAACUGAAACCGGACAGAAUGAAACAAAGACAAAGAGCUGCCAUCGUAGAAAUGGAAGGUUUUCGGAUCAACGGGCUGUACCUGAUCAAAGAAUUAGCUGUAAGAGACUGCCGAUCAGGUUGGACUGACGUUUAAUGCUUCAGGCCCCCAUACCCGGAAGAUCGUCCGAGCGACGCAGACAAGAGGCACGUCCUAUGGUGUACUGUAUAUCUCCAUGGUCUCCGUUGGAAUGAUGGCGAUCACACUAUGCUGGACUUCCUACGGAUUCGCCAGGGGAUAAGACAGGACUAUGUUAAGAUCUACACCAAAGAUACUAUCUAAUUAUGAGCAUGGCUGUUCGUUACAAAUGUGGACUCUGUACUCCCGUUGUUCUGUGCUCAGAAAGUAAGAAUUAUGGAACAGUUUUCUAUGUGGCUGAUUAUUGAAGUGGUUUAGAGAUGGACAAUAAUAGAAAAUUGGAAACUUGAUAAAGCGAUGGUGAGAGAAGGUACAUCACAUGUAAUGACUUCAUAUUCCAGGUACAUCACCUUUAAUGACUUCAUAUCCCAGCUACAUCACCUGUAAUGACUUCAUAUUCCAGCUAUAUCACCUGUAAUGACUUCAUAUCCCAGCUACAUCACCUGUAAUGACUUCAUAUCCCAGCUACAUCACCUAUAAUGACUUCAUAUCCCAGCUACAUCACUUGUAAUGAAGACAUUUUUAGGCAACUAUUUUUUGUUUGCAAAACCCCCAAGUAUCUUGUUAAAAUCUAAGUGAUACACACAACUGUCCAAUUUAGUACUUUUAGCAAACAUCUAUUAAAUUAUGUGAGAUUUAUAAAUGUUCCCUCAAAUCACUAUUAGGUUUUUUAUCUGUCAUUAAUUUUCUACACAAAAAUUUAGACCUAAAAAUUUUAGAGAUUCUGGCUGAAAGAAGUAGAAUUAUGAUUUGACUUGCAUUGCUGGUCAAAUGUUAUCAAAACUGUAUGCUAACAUAUGAAUUAUUUGCAUAAGUGGAACAAUGCAGCCUUCCUAUUUUUAACAUGUUUAAUAUAAAAUUUUAAGGACUAAACAAAAGUUAAAAUUCUUAACCAUCAAAUAGUGUAGUGGUUCUUUCCAUUUCUGCAUGUACUACUUUUGUGAUGUGUAAACCUAGUAUGUGUUUGGCCAGUAAAGUAGUAAUUUUUAAUGUAUGUUUGGCCAGUAAAGUAGUAAUUUUUAAUGUAUGUUUGGCCAGUAAAGUAGUAAUUUUUAAUGUAUGUUUGGCCAGUAAAGUAGUAAUUUUUAAUGUGUGUUUGGCUAGUAAAGUAGUAAUUUGUAAUGUAUGUUUGGUCAGUAAAGUAGUAAUUUUUAA
rnacentral:lncRNA from 1 species